rnacentral:rRNA from 1 species
CCUACGGGCGGCAGCAGUGGGGAAUAUUGCACAAUGGGGGAAACCCUGACGCAGCGACGCCGCGUGAGUGAGGAAGUAUUUCGGUAUGUAAAGCUCUAUUAGCAGGGAAGAAAAUGACGGUACCUGACUAAGAAGCACCGGCCAACUACGUGCCAGCAGCCGCGGUAAUACGAAGGGGGGAAGCGUUAUCCGGAUAUACUGGGUGGAAAGGGAGCGUAGACGGUUCAUCAAGUAAGAAGGGAAAACCCAGGGCUCAACCUUGGGACUGCUGUUGAAACGGAGUAGCUAGAGUGCAGGAGAGGGAAGCGGAAUUCCUGGUGUAGCGGUGAAAUGCGUAGAUAUUAGGAGGAACACCAGUGGCGAAGGCGGCUUACUGGACUGUAACUGACGUUGAGGCUCGAAAGCGUGGGGAGCAAACAGGAUUAGAUACCCUAGUAGUC